rnacentral:rRNA from 1 species
GAUGAACGCUGGCGGCGUGCCUAAUACAUGCAAGUCGAGCGAACAGACGAGGAGCUUGCUCCUCUGACGUUAGCGGCGGACGGGUGAGUAACACGUGGAUAACCUACCUAUAAGACUGGGAUAACUUCGGGAAACCGGAGCUAAUACCGGAUAAUAUAUUGAACCGCAUGGUUCAAUAGUGAAAGACGGUUUUGCUGUCACUUAUAGAUGGAUCCGCGCCGCAUUAGCUAGUUGGUAAGGUAACGGCUUACCAAGGCAACGAUGCGUAGCCGACCUGAGAGGGUGAUCGGCCACACUGGAACUGAGACACGGUCCAGACUCCUACGGGAGGCAGCAGUAGGGAAUCGUCCGCAAUGGGCGAAAGCCUGACGGAGCAACGCCGCGUGAGUGAUGAAGGUCUUCGGAUCGUAAAACUCUGUUAUUAGGUAAGAACAAAUGUGUAAGUAACUAUGCACGUCUUGACGGUACCUAAUCAGAAAGCCACGGCUAACUACGUG